CACACUCGUGGUGGAUCCACUGGACGAUUAUCUCCGAAAGGGCGUUGGGUUAAUAUUCCCAAACUGGAAGAAAGAGGAUGGUGCUUCGGUGCCUGGUGCGGUAACGCCAACAACCUCGAAGACGUCGGCGAUAGCCCUGGGAAGAGUUGUCUUUUCUCUAUAAGACUUUCGACUCCAUGAAAACAGUUUGCCUGGAGAUAUGGAUGUUGAAGUCGAAGAGUGCCACGGCUCUUGUGGCAUCCGGUGCGCUAUUGUCGGCCCUUGAAAAUUCGAGCUCGAAUCUGCCUCUUUCUCAAGCCGUACCGAUAUCCGCAGCAGGUCUCCAAGGUUAGCAGCCUCUAGUUUCUAGAAUAAUGUAGGUAAGGGAAGUCGGCAAAACUGAUCCGUAACUUCGGGACAAGGAUUGGCUCUGAAGAAUGGGCUAGUCGGGCCGCAGUAAGAUGCUAGCGUGUGCACCUGGCUGGGGCUGACAGCAAUGUCGGACCCGUGCUGGUGUCUGCUAGCGGACAAUUGUGGCUACAGCCCGGCUCCCUGUGGGCCGGUGUCUGUUUCGGCUAGCGCCUAACAUUCG
rnacentral:rRNA from 1 species